GACGAACGCUGGCGGCGUGCUUAACACAUGCAAGUCGAACGGAAAGGCCCUGCUUUUGUGGGGUGCUCGAGUGGCGAACGGGUGAGUAACACGUGAGUAACCUGACCUUGACUUUGGGAUAACUUCAGGAAACUGGGGCUAAUACCGGAUAGGAGCUCCUGCUGCAUGGUGGGGGUUGGAACGUUUCGGCGGUUGGGGAUGGACUCGCGGCUUAUCAGCUUGUUGGUGGGGUAGUGGCUUACCAAGGCUUUGACGGGUAGCCGGCCUGAGAGGGUGACCGGCCACAUUGGGACUGAGAUACGGCCCAGACUCCUACGGUAGGCAGCAGUGGGGAAUAUUGCACAAUGGGCGGAAGCCUGAUGCAGCAACGCCGCGUGCGGGAUGACGGCCUUCGGGUUGUAAACCGCUUUCGCCUGUGACGAAGCGUGAGUGACGGUAAUGGGUAAAGAAGCACCGGCUAACUACGUG
rnacentral:rRNA from 1 species